GGCCUACCAUGGUGGUAACGGGUAACGGGGUGUUAGGGCACGACACCGGAGAGGGAGCCUGAGAAACGGCUACCACAUCCAAGGAUGGCAGCAGGCGCGCAAAUUACCCAAUCCCGACACGGGGAGGUAGUGACAAUAAAUAACAAUACGGGGUUCUUUAGGAUCUCGUAAUUGGAAUGAGUACAAUUUAAAUCUCUUAACGAGGAACAAUUGGAGGGCAAGUCUGGUGCCAGCAGCCGCGGUAAUUCCAGCUCCAAUAGCGUAUAUUAAAGUUGUUGCAGUUAAAAAGCUCGUAGUUGAAUUUCGGGGUUAGUAAGUUGGUCAUGCCUUUGGUAUGCACUGGCUUUACUGAUUCCUCCUUCUUGACGAACCAUGAUGUCAUUAAUUUGGUGUUGCGGGAAAUCAGGACUGUUACUUUGAAAAAAUUAGAGUGUUUAAAGCAGGCUAACGCUUGAAUACAUUAGCAUGGAAUAAUGAAAUAGGACGUUAAUCCCUAUUUUGUUGGUUUCUAGGAUCGACGUAAUGAUUAAUAGGGAUAGUUGGGGGGCAUUAGUAUUCNAUUUGUCAGAGGUGAAAUUCUUGGAUUUAUUGAAGACUAACUACUGCGAAAGCAUUUGCCAAGGAUGUUUUCAUUAAUCAAGAACGAAAGUUAGGGGAUCGAAGACGAUCAGAUACCGUCGUAGUCUUAACCAUAAACUAUGCCGACUAGGGAUCGGAUGAUGUUAAUUCUUUAAUGACUCAUUCGGCGCCUUACG
rnacentral:rRNA from 1 species